GUCCGCCUGCCCGGUGACUCAGUGUUAAACGGCCGCGGUAUUUUAACCGUGCAAAGGUAGCGUAAUCACUUGUCUUUUAAAUGGAGACUUGUAUGAAAGGCAUCACGAGGGCUUAACUGUCUCCUCUUCCCAAUCAAUGAAAUUGAUCUCCCCGUGCAGAAGCUGGGAUAACACUAUAAGACGAGAAGACCCUAUGGAGCUUUAAACACAACAGGUACACGUCACUCACCCUAAUACAAAAGAGUAAACUAAGUGUAUAACCUAGAGAAUGUUUUUGGUUGGGGCGACCGCGGGGUACCAAUUAACCCCCAUGACGAGAAAGCAAAUUACUUUCAAAACUAAGACCAGCAAGUCUAAGCUACAGAACUUCUGACAAAAGAUCCGGCUAGCCGAUUAACGAACCGAGUUACCCUAGGGAUAACAGCGCAAUCCUCUUAAAAAGACCUUAUUAACAAGGGGGUUUACGACCUCGAUGUUGGAUCAGGACAUCCUAAUGGUGCAGCCGCUAUUAAGGGUUCGUUUGUUCAACGAUUAAAGUCCUACGUGAUCUG
rnacentral:rRNA from 1 species